GAAGUGAGCUGGGCGGCUGCUACAGUUAAAUUUGUAGAGGAAGGUCCGGACUCCNUGGGUAAGGGUGACGGCUAACGGCCGGACGCAGCAAGUCUUUUAUAAGACUCAAGGCGAGGAAUAGGGCCACAGAGACGAGUAAAUACAAUGUUUGUUUUGUAUGGACGUGAAACGCGGCAACCUCCACCCGGAGCAACACCAAAUAGGCAUGCGCGCAGUUAACUGCAAUGGAACCCAACAGAGCAUGCGGGUAGGUGGCUAGAGUUUGAUAGUAAUAUCAAUCCGAGAUAGAUAGCCGCACAAAACAGCUGAUUUUCAGCAGUUUGGACAGAAUCCGGCCUAUAGGCUCACUUCGCUA
rnacentral:RNase_P_RNA from 1 species